rnacentral:rRNA from 1 species
ACGAACGCUGGCGGCGUGCUUAACACAUGCAAGUCGAACGGAAAGGCCCUGCUUUUGUGGGGUGCUCGAGUGGCGAACGGGGGAGUAACACGUGAGUAACCUGCCCUUGACUUUGGGAUAACUUCAGGAAACUGGGGCUAAUACCGGAUAGGAGCUCCUGCUGCAUGGUGGGGGUUGGAAAGUUUCGGCGGUUGGGGAUGGACUCGCGGCUUAUCAGCUUGUUGGUGGGGUAGUGGCUUACCAAGGCUUUGACGGGUAGCCGGCCUGGGAGGGUGACCGGCCCCAUUGGGACUGAGAUACCGCCCAGACUCCUACGGGGGGCAGCAGUGGGGAAUAUUGCACGAUGGGCGGAAGCCUGAUGCAGCAACGCCGCGUGCGGGAUGACGGCCUUCGGGUUGUAAACCGCUUUCGCCUGUGACGAAGCGUGAGUGACGGUAAUGGGUAAAGAAGCACCGGCUAACUACGUG